rnacentral:misc_RNA from 1 species
GAUGAAGAACGUAGCGAAAUGCGAUAAGUAGUGUGAAUUGCAGAAUUCAGUGAAUCAUCGAAUCUUUGAACGCACAUUGCGCCCCUUGGUAUUCCAUGGGGCAUGCCUGUUCGAGCGUCAUUUGUACCUUCAAGCUCUGCUUGGUGUUGGGUGUUUGUCUCGCCUCUGCGCGUAGACUCGCCUCAAAACAAUUGGCAGCCGGCGUAUUGAUUUCGGAGCGCAGUACAUCUCGCGCCUUGCACUCAUAACGACGACGUCCAAAAGUACAUUUUUACACUCUUGACCUCGGAUCAGGUAGGGAUACCCGCUGAACUUAAGCAUAUCAAUAAGCGGAGGA